AAAGACCUUAUGCUUUUGGAGCGGCCGAUGUCUGAUUAGCUAGUUGGUGAGGUAAAGGCUUACCAAGGCAACGAUCAGUAGUUGGUCUGAGAGGACGACCAGCCACACUGGGACUGAGACACGGCCCAGACUCCUACGGGAGGCAGCAGUGGGGAAUUUUGGACAAUGGGCGAAAGCCUGAUCCAGCAAUGCCGCGUGAGUGAAGAAGGCCUUCGGGUUGUAAAGCUCUUUCAGUUGAGAAGAAAAGGCUGUGACUAAUAAUCACAGCUCAUGACGGUAUCGACAGAAGAAGCACCGGCUAACUACGUGCCAGCAGCCGCGGUAAUACGUAGGGUGCAAGCGUUAAUCGGAAUUACUGGGCGUAAAGGGUGCGCAGGCGGUUCUGUAAGUCAGAUGUGAAAUCCCCGGGCUUAACCUGGGAACU
rnacentral:rRNA from 1 species